rnacentral:rRNA from 1 species
ACGAACGCUGGCGGCGUGCCUAAUACAUGCAAGUUGAGCGAUGAAGAUUGGUGCUUGCACCAAUUUGAAGAGCAGCGAACGGGUGAGUAACGCGUGGGGAAUCUGCCUUUGAGCGGGGGACAACAUUUGGAAACGAAUGCUAAUACCGCAUAACAACUUUAAACAUAAGUUUUAAGUUUGAAAGAUGCAAUUGCAUCACUCAAAGAUGAUCCCGCGUUGUAUUAGCUAGUUGGUGAGGUAAAGGCUCACCAAGGCGAUGAUACAUAGCCGACCUGAGAGGGUGAUCGGCCACAUUGGGACUGAGACACGGCCCAAACUCCUACGGGAGGCAGCAGUAGGGAAUCUUCGGCAAUGGACGAAAGUCUGACCGAGCAACGCCGCGUGAGUGAAGAAGGUUUUCGGAUCGUAAAACUCUGUUGGUAGAGAAGAACGCUGGUGAGAGUGGAAAGCUCAUCAAGUGACGGUAACUACCCAGAAAGGGACGGCUAACUACGUG